AAACGACUCUCGGCAACGGAUAUCUCGGCUCACGCAUCGAUGAAGAACGUAGCAAAAUGCGAUACUUGGUGUGAAUUGCAGAAUCCCGUGAACCAUCGAGUUUUUGAACGCAAGUUGCGCCCGAAGCCUUUCGGUCGAGGGCA
rnacentral:rRNA from 1 species